rnacentral:lncRNA from 1 species
GUUUUCCUUAAAGGCACUGUUCCUCCUCUUUCCCUUGUCCCGCUCCACCCACCUCAGCCCAAGGACCAUUUUCCAGACAGGACGUCAUUCAUUGUCCCUGAGUUUUGGCUCAUCUGAGCCCCAUCAUAAAGGCAAAGGCGAGGAGGGAACAGCUAAUAUUUACCCAGCAUCUUCAAUGAACCUGACAGGAUCUUGCUAUAUGGUCCAGCCUGGGCUUUAACUCAGUAUCUUCCUGCCUCAGUCUCCUGAGUUCUGGGAGGAUUACAGCUGAAGCAAUACAAGGCUCUCACCAAAAGCCAAGUGAAUGCCAGUGCCAUAAUCUCUGACUUCCCAGCCUCUAGAAAUGUGAUCCAAAAUAAAC